rnacentral:rRNA from 1 species
UAUUUAUAAGUUAAGUUUAAUUAUUUUAUUGUAGGUUUAUGUGCCUUUUGCAUCAUGCUUGAGUGAUUUUAGGAAAAACUUUCUUUAAUCGAAAAUUUUGGAUCUUACACAGUCUUGCUAAGUGAGUAAUUCGAGUAGACAUAUUAAAGGCUUGUGUAUGUUGUGAUAAAUUAGGCGUCAAAAUUUAUAUCUAUUUAAUGACUUUUAUUUUUAAUUAGUUUCUGAGCGAGGAUGUUUGGAAGCAGUAUAUACUAUUUAUUAUUUUAUUUUUAUAGUGGGGUUAAAAUUACCUCUUUAUUGUAAGUUUGUUAUAAAUUUAAAUAUUAGGUUUAAUAGUUAUAUUUAAUGGUCAUUCUUUUAAUAUGUUGGUAGUGAAUAUGCUUAAAUAAGUAAUUAUAACACAUAUUUUAUUUCUCGUGAUUUGCCCGUCUGUUUAUUAAAAACAUUGCCAUAAAAAAUUUUUUAUGGUAGUACCUGCUCUAUGUUAUUUAUAAAUGGCCGCAGUAUCUUGACUGUGCGAAGGUAGCAUAAUUAAUUGCCUUAUAAUUGAAGGCUUGUUUGAAUGGUUUGACGAGGUAAAGGUAAAUAUAAUUUGUAUUAUUGAAAUUAUUGUAGAGGGCACAGAAACCUCUAUAUUUAAUUAGACGGAAAGACCCCGGGAUCUUUUAUUUUUGCUUGGGGCAAGUUAAAAUUUUUCAUUUUUAUUAUGACCCUGAUGGUAUAAUGAGCUAAGUUACCCCGGGGAUAACAGUGUUAUAGCUUAUUAGAGAUCUUAUCGAUUAAGCUGUUUGCUACCUCGAUGUUGACUUAGGUUACGUUUUAGGCGCAGUAGUUUAAAAUUUAGGUCUGUUCGACCUUAUUAACCUCCAUGAGUUGAGUUAAGACCGGUGUAAGCCAGGUCGGUUCUUAUCUAUUAAUCUUACUUACUAGUACGAAAGGACCGUAAGUUUUUUUAUU